rnacentral:rRNA from 1 species
UACGGAGGGGGCUAGCGUUUUUCGGAAUUACUGGGCGUAAAGCGCACGUAGGCGGAUGUUUAAGUCGGGGGUGAAAUCCCGGGGCUCAACCCCGGAAUGGCCUUCGAUACUGGACGUCUGGAGGUCGGGAGAGGCGAGUGGAAUUCCGAGUGUAGAGGUGAAAUUCGUAGAUAUUCGGAGGAACACCAGUGGCGAAGGCGGCUCGCUGGCCCGAUACUGACGCUGAGGUGCGAAAGCGUGGGGAGCAAACAGG